rnacentral:rRNA from 1 species
GCUUAACACAUGCAAGUCGAGGGGUAUAGUUCUUCGGAACUAGAGACCGGCGCACGGGUGCGUAACGCGUAUGCAAUCUACCUUAUACAGGGGAAUAGCCCAGAGAAAUUUGGAUUAAUGCCCCAUAGUAUUACGAAACGGCAUCGUUUUGUGAUUAAAGUUCCAACGGUAUAAGAUGAGCAUGCGUCCCAUUAGUUAGUUGGUAAGGUAACGGCUUACCAAGGCGAUGAUGGGUAGGGGUCCUGAGAGGGAGAUCCCCCACACUGGUACUGAGACACGGACCAGACUCCUACGGGAGGCAGCAGUGAGGAAUAUUGGUCAAUGGGCGCAAGCCUGAACCAGCCAUGCCGCGUGCAGGAAGAAUCAUCUAUGGUGUGUAAACUGCUUUUAUACAGGAAGAAACCUCCCUACGAGUAGGGACUUGACGGUACUGUAGGAAUAAGGAUCGGCUAACUUCGUGCCAGCAGCCGCGGUAAUAC